ACAGUUCCUGUAAUGUUUAUGAAUCCGGCGGUAUAUGUAUUAGCAGAAAUAGGGGAGAAUCAUCAUUCAGCAAAACUAAAACCCUAGAUUGAGAAAUUGAAGUAUUGAAAACCUUUAUUUGAUCUGUAACAACAAUGCCGCAAGUGAAGAUCGUCGCCAGGAAUUUCAUGGACAUGGUGGCUUCAUUGCCUGUCAUGAAACUCGACAUGCUUUACGACAAUUCCUUUAUCUGUGAAGCCAUUCUUAGAUCGUUACCUCCCUUAGCGAAGAAGUAUGUGCUGCAAAUGUUGUAUAUAGACAUACCAAUUACAGCCAAGUCGAUGGAGGAGUGGGUGCUUCCAGAUGGAUUCUCAAAGCAUAAAGUUGCCAUUGAUAGAUUGAUACAGCUGAGAGUAAUGACAGAAACAUUUGACAGGAAAAAGGAAGCCAUGUAUCAACUAAACCCAAAAUUUCAAUUUAAUCUUCAGAAGCAUAUAGUCUAUGGUGGAGUCUUACCAAGGGAACCAAUGCCUUCUAAUAUCACUGUGAGGCUUCCUAGCUUGGAGGAGUUAGAGGCAUAUGCUGUUGAACAAUGGGAGUGCUUUCUGCUGAACCUUAUAAGCUCCAGUGAAGCUGGAAAGACCACAAACAUAAGCUCUUCGAUGAUGAAAAUCUUCCAGCGUGGACUUUUAAGUCAGAGAGACGAUAGAGAACCUCCUAGGUUGACUGAAAGUGGGUUCCAGUUCUUGCUAAUGGACACAAAUGCACAGCUUUGGUACAUCAUCAGGGAGUACAUAACAAAUGCUGAGGAGCGAGGAGUGGAUUCAGCAGAUCUUAUUGCAUUUCUUUUGGAGCUAAGCUUUCAUGUUACUGGCAAGGCAUACAACACAAACACAAUAACUGAUCUCCAGAGAAGUAUAAUUAAGGACCUUUCAGAUUUGGGAUUGGUCAAACUGCAGCAGGGAAGGAAAGAGAGUUGGUUUAUUCCCACCAAACUGGCGACCAACCUGUCAAUUAGCUUAGCGGAUACAACUACUAGGAAACAGGGUUUUAUCGUUAUUGAAACAAACUUCAGACUGUAUGCAUAUUCAACAUCAAAAUUGCACUGUGAGAUCCUACGCCUUUUUGCAAGGUACCAAACGAUUUGCUGCUGCUGCUUGUGUUUUUUUUAUAGUUUGGUUGAGAAAAGAGAUCAUAUGGAAAGAACAGGUGCUAACUCUCCUCUUGAUAGCAUUACCUGGACUCUGUUGCUACUUUUUGUUGGAAUUAAUACCAUCAAACUUUAUCUGACACUAGUCUGGUGCUUGCCAAGAAAUGCAUUACUUGUAUCAUUUGCGAGGUGGGAGAGGAUGUCCUACUUAUGAAUCUUCAUUUACCUUCAUACGGACCGAAAUAUCAGGCAGAUCUUGUUCUUCUGUCAAUAUUAUUAUCUUAAGUAUUUCAUUUGCUUUCACUUCCAUUUAUGCAGCUCUCUGCUAUGUAUUCAGCAUCUUAAUCUCAUAGGUGUGCAUUGAUGGUGUUUUUCCAGUACUAUUUUGGUGGUUGCAUAUGUUUACCUCCAUACAGAGUAAAAAAGAGAGCAUAUAGACUCUGUCAAAUUUUAGUAAAUUCAUCAUACAUCAUGUGCAAUAUAUUAAACAAUUGUGAUGCAAGAGUUCAAGGCUUAUCUAAAUUCUGGAGUAUACUAGAGAGUUGGCUUUCCCUAGAUUCUGGAGUAUCAAAUGCAAUAAAUGCUACCAAUCUGGAUAUUAUUACACACAUACACCUCCUGCUGAAAAAAAGGAAAGAACUAGCUACGUGGAUAAAAAAAGAUGAAUGAGAUUGUGCAUCCUACUGGCUCAAUGCAGAAGUCAGAAGAUGUCACCAAAAGAAUGGAACACUUUCUUCAAAUCUGUGUCAUAAUUGGCCUGGGUAAACACAAUCAUUGAUGCUUGGAGUUUGGAUUAAAUAGGAUAGAUUGUUUGGAGUUGAUAAGCAGAAGAAUUUCAGCAGAGCUAUUGGAAAGUGGAUAACAUGUUUACAGUGUAGAAUGCUUCUAGGGAUGUUUGUUUGAGCUUUUGCUUCUCUCUUUCUUCCCCCUUCUGAGAUAAGAACUUGUCCAAUUAUUCAUGGGGUGGAAUACCAGCUUCCAAAUCUCAUUGUUGGUGCUAUUAAUAAAGAGAGUUUAUAUAAAGCUUUUCAAAACGGCAUUACUUCUGAGCAG